UGUACUUAAUCACAUAAUGCUCCUUAGACUUUAGCUGCCGUGCAUUUAACUUUCGUCUCAUUUUAUCUGUGAAUAUCCUACCAGUCCCCCUUCUUCAUGCUGUAAUUGCACAUCUAACACUGAACCACUUCGACAAGCGUUCGAAGGAAAGAUGAACAAGAGUGGUAAUGGGCAAUGAGCGAGCCCUCUUCAAUACUUUAUUGAAACUUUCAGAUAGAUUGAUAUUCAUUAUUCCAUACC
rnacentral:lncRNA from 1 species